rnacentral:rRNA from 1 species
AUUGAACGCUGGCGGCAUGCCUUACACAUGCAAGUCGAACGGCAGCACGGGGCAACCUGGUGGCGAGUGGCGAACGGGUGAGUAAUGCAUCGGAACGUACCUUUCAGUGGGGGAUAACGUAGCGAAAGUUACGCUAAUACUGCAUAUUCUGUGAGCAGGAAAGCAGGGGAUCGCAAGACCUUGCGCUGAUUGAGCGGCCGAUGUCAGAUUAGCUAGUUGGUGAGGUAAAGGUUCACCAAGGCGACGAUCUGUAGCGGGUCUGGGAGGAUGAUCCGCCACACGGGAACUGAGCCACGGUCCAGACUCCGACGGGAGGCAGCAGUGGGGAAUUUUGGACAAUGGGGGCAACCCUGAUCCAGCCAUGCCGCGUGAGUGAAGAAGGCCUUCGGGUUGUAAAGCUCUUUCGGCCGGGAAGAAAUCGCACGGGCUAAUACCCUGUGUGGAUGACGGUACCGGAAUAAGAAGCACCGGCUAACUACGUGCCAGCAGCCGCAGUAAGAC